CUACGGGGCGCAGCAGGCGCGAAACCUUUACCAUGCGGGCAACCGUGAUAAGGAAACCCCGAGUGGAUGAAUAGUCAUCCUGUCCAUCAGUUUAGAUCCCUGGUGAAGAAAGGGCCGGGCAAGACCGGUGCCAGCCGCCGCGGUAAUACCGGCGGCUCGAGUGGUGGCCACUAUUACUGGGCUUAAAGGGUCCGUAGCUUGCAUGAUAAGCCUCUUGAGAAAUCCACUGGCUUAACCAAUGGUCGUUCGGGAGGAACUGUCAUGCUAGGGACCGGGAGAGGUAAGGGGUACUGCCGGGGUAGGAGUGAAAUCCUGUAAUCCCGGUGGGACCACCGGUGGCGAAGGCGCCUUACCAGAACGGCUCCGACAGUGAGGGACGAAAGCUGGGGGAGCGAACCGGAUUAGAUACCCGGGUAGUCCCAGCCGUAAACGAUGCGCGUUAGGUGUGUCAGUGACCACGCGUUACUGAGGUGCCGAAGGGAAACCGUGAAACGCGCCGCCUGGGAAGUACGGUCGCAAGGCUGAAACUUAAAGGAAUUGGCGGGGGAGCACCACAACAGGUGGAGCCUGCGGUUUAAUCGGACUCAACGCCGGGAACCUCACCAGAUAAGACAGCAGUAUGAAGGUCGGGAUGAAGACUCUACUAGACUCGCUGAGAGGAGGUGCAUGGCCGUCGUCAGUUCGUACUGUGAAGCAUCCUGUUUAGUCAGGCAACGAGCGAGACCCACGCCAACAUUUGCCAGCUUUUCCUUUGGGAAGAUGGGGACACUGUUGGGACCGCCUCUGCUAAAGAGGAGGAAGGAUUGGGCAACGGUAGGUCAGCAUGCCCCGAAUUAUCUGGGCCACACGCGGGCUACAAUGGGCAGGACAAUGGGCGUCCUCCACCGAAAGGUGUCGGUAAUCUCCUAACCCUGUCCGAAGUUCGGAUUGCGGAUUGUAACUCAUCCGCAUGAAGCUGGAAUCUGUAGUAAUCGCGUUUCAUCAUAGCGCGGUGAAUAUGUCCCUGCUCCUU
rnacentral:rRNA from 1 species